UACGAUGGAGAGUUUGAUCCUGGCUCAGGACGAACGCUAGCGGCAGGCCUAAUACAUGCAAGUCGAACGGUAAGAUCUCUUCGGAGAUACACGAGUGGCGCACGGGUGCGUAACGCGUAUGCAACCUACCCUAAAGCGGGGGAUAGCCUGUGGAAACGCAGAUUAAUACCCCAUAGACCCAACAGAUGGCAUCUGAAGUUGGGGAAAGCUCCGGCGCUUUUGGAUGGGCAUGCGUGACAUUAGCUAGCUGGUGAGGUAACGGCUCACCAGGGCAACGAUGUCUAGCUGGUCUGAGAGGAUGAUCAGCCACACGGGCACUGAGACACGGGCCCGACUCCUACGGGAGGCAGCAGUAAGGAAUAUUGGACAAUGGGCGCAAGCCUGAUCCAGCCAUGCCGCGUGGAGGAAGACGGUUCUCUGAAUUGUAAACUCCUUUUAUCAGGGACUAAUGUGGGGCUAUAUGCCCUUUUGCAGGUACCUGAUGAAUAAGCACCGGCUAACUACGUGCCAGCAGCCGCGGUAAUACGUAGGGUGCAAGCGUUGUCCGGAUUUAUUGGGUUUAAAGGGUGCGCAGGCGGCCUGUUAAGUUAGUGGUGAAAUCGUACAGCUCAACUGUAUAGGUGCCAUUAAUACUGGCAGGCUUGAGUUUGGCAGAGGGACUUGGAAUGCGUGGUGUAGCGGUGAAAUGCAUAGAUAUCACGCAGAACACCGAUUGCGAAGGCAGAGUUCUAUGUCAAAACUGACGCUGAGUCACGAAAGCGUGGGGAGCGAACAGGAUUAGAUACCCUGGUAGUCCACGCUGUAAACGAUGAUCACUAGGUGUUCGGUUCAUUAAGAGCUGAGUGCCCAAGCGAAAGCGAUAAGUGAUCCACCUGGGGAGUACGUCGGCAACGAUGAAACUCAAAGGAAUUGACGGGGGCCCGCACAAGCGGUGGA
rnacentral:rRNA from 1 species